rnacentral:rRNA from 1 species
GAUGGACGCUGGCGGCGUGCCUAAUACAUGCAAGUCGAGCGAACAGAUAAGGAGCUUGCUCCUUUGACGUUAGCGGCGGACGGGUGAGUAACACGUGGAUAACCUACCUAUAAGACUGGGAUAACUUCGGGAAACCGGAGCUAAUACCGGAUAACAUAUUGAACCGCAUGGUUCAAUAGUGAAAGGCGGCUUUGCUGUCACUUAUAGAUGGAUCCGCGCCGUAUUAGCUAGUUGGUAAGGUAACGGCUUACCAAGGCAACGAUACGUAGCCGACCUGAGAGGGUGAUCGGCCACACUGGAACUGAGACACGGUCCAGACUCCUACGGGAGGCAGCAGUAGGGAAUCUUCCGCAAUGGGCGAAAGCCUGACGGAGCAACGCCGCGUGAGUGAUGAAGGUCUUCGGAUCGUAAAACUCUGUUAUCAGGGAAGAACAAAUGUGUAAGUAACUGUGCACAUCUUGACGGUACCUGAUCAGAAAGCCACGGCUAACUACGUG